UAGGCAUUUCGACAAUUUUAUGAUGGAUUUUAUGAUUUUAUGAUUAUCAGGUAACCAGAAGUGGUCAUCUGGAUUGAAAAUUGGGUUUUAGGUCGGAUUCUGGCCACUGGGUAUAAUCCAGGUUUCAAGAACCCAUAUUGAUUGGUAUUUGGCCAUUCAUUGGAUGCCUCUCAGAAACGAUCAGCAAUAUCAACUGCGUUAAAGAAUUUCAAUUUCACUGAUAAGAUUAGUCAAAUUAAUGUAUAAGGAACAACAUUUAAUUAUACUUUAUUGAAAAUCUACUGACUAACGUUGACUUAAGGAAUCUGAAUAUUUAUAGGCAGUAUAUGAGUACAAAUCGAUUAUACCAUAAUCAAAAACAAAAUCACAUCAUAUAGUUGAAAGAAUUUAACGUGAUUUGCAUGUAUACGUGUUAAUUUAUAUUCAUAUCGUCGGUUUCGUGUAACACUGGUAUAACUCAAAAAAAACAUAGUUUCGAGAAAAACGCGUUUGAAAAUUUGCGUCGAAAAUUUAUUUUUCGAUUUUCAAGAAAACUUUGAAAUUUAAGAUUACCAAUCCUUAUUUAACACCUUUUGGUCUAUUAUGCACAUAUUACGUGCUCACGUUGUCCAAGUUAAAACCUUAUGUUUACUAACUUUAUGGAGAAAUUUCGAUUUGUGCAGCAAAGGCACUUCUAUUCAUAACUCUGGAAUAUUUGUGAACUGACCAGUAUUUGGCAUCGUUUGCCAUCAAAAACUCAAAAAUGCAAAGUUUUGAGUUGUGCCAGUGUUGCACGAAGCCGAUGAUAUGUUAAAUUUUAAAUGUUCGGUAUAGCUGUGCUGUUGGCUACCAAAAAUUUGUUGUUUAGAAUGAAUAACAAAUCCAGCAGAAAUAAUCAAGGUGUAUUUUUUGAGUGUUGGAGUAAAUCUAUUUUAACAAAUUAUAAGUUCGAAAAGUUCGCGGAUGGUUGUGCGAGGCCGUGAUCAAGAUUGGCCAGCUGGUUCCUGCUUUGAAAUCAUCACAUUGUUUGGUGAUUUUCGGUUAUUUUACACCUAAAGAAUUGUUAAACACAUAUACAGGUGUUCUAUUGAAAUGUGCUGAGUGCGAAAAGUGUGAAGUUCCACAAAAAAAAAGUGAAUUUAAUUGUGAAAAUUGAAUAUUAUUGCGUUGCUUUUUAGAUUCACCAAAGUGUUUAUUUUUUCUUGUUCUUUUUUUCUAUCGCUGUCUUGGCGACGGUUUGAAAGUGUGGAGUGUGUGGUGUUAUUACAUACAAUAAGGAGAGUGUUUUUCGAGCAGCUGCUCCACAUAGUUUUAUAGUGAUUGGAUGCUCAUUAGGGAUGUAUUCAUUGGCAUAGUGCAAAUUAUAUUUGGCUUGUAUCUAGUUAAACUUGAAGUGAAAAUUUGCCAAUAAGAUCAAAACCAUGCAUCGCCGUUUACAGUGUUAAUGUGCUAUCUCUUUUCAACGAAUGAAAUGUUGUAUGGAUUAAACGAGUGUGUGAAGGCAUACAUGCAUGUUGCCACUGUACUUCUAUUUAAAGAAAAGUCCAAAAACGAUGAAAACAACUGGAAAAUGCAGAGAUGAAAGCUAAGUAUACGUUUUGUCUUGUCUGUAUUGUAAAGUUAUAUGUUGAUGCUUGUUUCUAGUUUUACUUUAUGUGAGAAAACAGAUACAAAGAGAUUUUGAUUUCAUCGUUGAAAUUGUGUGCGCGGUAUUUUUUUUCCGCAGAGUUUCAGUAACAAGUUUUAUUUUUGUCCACAAAAUGUUAGUGUGGUUUGUGGAGUUUGGAGUAUGUGUUUCUCAGGAAUCAUAUGCUUAGAUUUUUUGAUUGUUCUAGCUUUUGACCAGUUGUUUUACAUAAUUUGUUAUAUUUAUGACUAGUUCGGCACUUUGUCAAUAAAUUUAAAAAUAUAUUCAGGCUUAUAUGUAUAUUUUCUUUUAUUUAAUUGUUGAGGCUUUGGAUGCAUGGAACAUUGCCAAUUUUCAUAUUUAUUAGGCGUAUUAGGCGUACAUUGUUAAGAGAUAAUCGACGUAAACGCCGAGUUCCUGCGCGUAUGUGUCGGCCGGGGGAUUAAAGCGGUUGUUCGUAACGCUUCGGUGUAAACGCGUAUUCAGCCCGGGCGAGUUUUGCUGAUAUAUGGACUUCCGGCGUGUGGUGAUUUCGCGAAGUGAACCCAGAUAUUUCAUCAUAUCUUUCUCAUCUCCAUCAACGUUAAGUCGGAGACUGCUCGCGCGUUGCAUCUAAAUUAUUACAUCGGAAAUCGAAGUAGGUUUCGUUCAGUCGAUAAAUAUCAUUUCAACCCCCGCGUCGGUACCUUCCAUGAGGUCGUAUUAUCUACAGAUGGAUCAACAACGCGCAAUAGUUUUAGGUAUAAAGAGCAUAACCUUACGAGGAGAUAUACGGUAAUUUGAGGUUGUCUCGGUUUAGUCAAAAAUCCUGUAUCCUCGCGUACGUUUUAUUGUUGCGGUGUUACAUUGUCAAACUAAAUAAGUUCGAAUCACAUUAUAAAUAUAUUGGCGGAUGUAAUAAACUUGUAGACGCGGCACAUGUUCUGAAGAACCCGACAUUAGCGCAUCGUUUACCAAAACGAACCCUGCUGUAUACCUUCUCCUUUAUCCAACAUCCCAGUGAUUUCUCGUGGAAGUGCAGAGGUGUUCUCGGCUUCCAUAAAGCGAGUAUCUCGUCAACAUAUUCCUAUACAAACUCCUUCUUUGACCUGCAUUCGGAUGCGGCCGGCGCUGGUAUUGCCUAAUAUAAAGAUUUAGGUCACCUGUUUUUACACAUUGAGGAUGCAUGUUGGUCCCAAACAUGAUCUGUUGGUUCUUUGUGUAAUUACAGCUGAUCUGGCAAUAACGGAGUAGCAACCGCGGGCGGUCAAUCAUGCUCAUGCUCAUGCUCAUGCUUUAACAAAUUAUAAGUUCGAAGGAGAAAGGCUGGGUCUCACCGCUAGGUGGAUUAAUUUAGGUUUUUUAUUUUGUGUUCGACCUUUGGAUUUCGUUGGGGAACGACGCCACCUUGAAGAGUGAAGAUUUCUCAGAAUUUUUUCUAUAUUAAAAACAAACGGUAGCCAAUAAUAUUUUUCCAAAUUGUUUAUUAAGAGUGUCAGCUGAAUUUAUUAUACGGACCAUGAGAAAAUUUUUUAUACAUUCCAUUGGCCCCAGCUCGAAAAUCCCAGAAUCGAAGUUUUUCGAAAAACAAAAAAUUGUUUUGAAAGAACAGAUCUCAACGUUUCAUGCAUCUUGACAGUUUCAUGUGUAUUUUUUCAUUUGUCACUCUGAGGCUCUUCUUCCCAAAGUCCGCUUGAAAUUUUGCCUAAGGACAUUUUUCGAGAAGACUUAACCUCUAUGCCCCAACUCUUAAAUUUAUCUUAUGCAUUUCAUUGGCAUCCUGAUCAGUGCCGGAUUUAAGAGGGGGCCCUCACAAAUUUUGGGGCCCCCACAAAUCGAGAAAAAGUUUUUUUCUCUGUCUAAAAUGAAAUUCAAUCAAAAGUUCGAUUUACAGCAAGAAGAUUUGAACAGACCAUUUCAAUCUGAAACUUUCCUUCAGCGCGAGCGCCAAUAUCACAACUACAUUCAUAAGAGUUCACCUUGGAUUCUCUUGGAAUGACACACAUUAACACACCAUUCGCGACUACGAAGUUGAAAGAGAUUUUAAAGGCUGUUCGCACCUAGGCGAACUCUUAUAUGCAAUUGUCAAAAUGUGUGUGAUGACAAAAGCAAAAUUAUUUCCUUCCAUAUUUUUCUCAUGCAAAAACCAAACAAAUAUCAGCACCUUUGUAGUCGCGAAUUUGAAUCGAACCAGCGUUGUCCGAAUCAGGAUAACUGUCCCAUAAUGAAAAACAACAUGUUGAGAAAACGGCGAUUUAAUAUUAUCCGUGAAUUUUCUGAUUUCCAGCUAUUUUAAGCAAUUUCAUCCAAUACCAAUGACCAGAACAGUUUCAUGGCACCAUAAGUUUAACGUUGAGAACAAAAAACCAUGGAUGGAAUUGGUUUUAAAACAAUAUCGCACGCUAGCCUGGGGGCUAAUGCGGUCUCGAUCAACUAGAUCAGUUGAGAGAAUUCGUUAUCGAUAUUGUUUUCGGCACAUUUUGCAUGUUGUAGGAUGAGUACAACGAUACACCGUGCCCCAGUGCUGAGUCGAGAAAAUUUCCAGCUCGAAAAGUUCCUUGACCUGAUCGGGAAUCGAACCCGAUAUCACAACCCUGUGGGAGAGCUAGCCGACCGACAUCGCUAACCACAGAACCACGGGGACCACAUGGAAUUGGUUUUACGUUACAUAAUUCGAGAAAAAAAAAAUGGGACAAAAUAUGCGGGUACAUUUCAAAAGUACUCGCAUAUUUUGUCCCAUCACAUAUAAAUUCAACCAGCAACCGGCAGUAUCACUGGCAACGUAGAUUAUACUACAGAAAACAACAUUAGUAUAGUUUAUUGAAUGACAUACUUCUAUAUGCCUAAAGUUAUCCGAUAUACACUAAUCUGGAGCAAAGUUAUAUGUUCGCAGUUUGUACCACUAUGCAGUGGGACUGUAAUGCGGGUACUUUCAAUAUGGGACAAACACAACUUGGUAUUUUUUCCAUGUUUUUCCAUACAAAAGUAUCAAUUUCAGAUUUUUUUCGGAAAAUAUGAUAACAGUUAAGUCGAUUCCCGAUGAUAACUCAAAAGGGACAAAAAUCAUAAUUGGACAGUUAUGCGGGUACCGGCAGUGCAGAUGUGUGCAGUUUUUUCUUAGUUUCCGUAGAUAAUUGUCAGGGUCGCCUUAUAUUUUAGCAGUCUUUCUCAUAUUGUGUGCAAAUUUUUGCCUGUGGUUCGCAUUUUUUCAGAUUGCGGUAAGUUUAUUUCAGAUAUCAAGAAAAAAUAUUCGUUUUUCGAGCAGAUCUUCCAAAACCAUCUGGCACGUUGAAAUUGCGUUGCGGAUUUAUUUGAGCCUAAUGAUCUCGAACGCAACUGGGGGAAGGUCUUUUUCGAUGAAACUGAUUAAAAAUAGGUUGCGUACGACUAUGCAGAAUGGAAGGCUGUACGUAUACGAUAUAUAUAGUACGAUAUAUAUAGUACGAUAUACUGAAGGAGUUGAACGUUGAUUAUUUUAUUCAUGUUUUUUUUCUCGUAAGAAAAAAUUCUAACAAAUUUUCGUAACUUUUCAAUAACAAAUAAAUGUUUUACCGGUUUUGUUUUAUUUUGGGGCCCCCACUUAAAACUGGGCCCCAGGCCCCCACAUUCGUAAAUCCGGCUCUGAUCCUGAUACAAAAGCACUGCAAGCUCGAGAGUAGGUUGACAGAGAAGGAAGCAAGAAAGCGCGAGAAGGCGAAAAUUGUGAACGAUUUGGAGAUAAAGAGGGCGAAAAUUGUGCUACAGAUCGCUAUGAAGGUACUUGCUAACGUCGACGAACAGCUAAAAACGAUUAAGGAGAAAUGUUUUUCAUAGUUUUGUAACACUAUUUUUGCAAGGCAUAAAUAAGUAUGUAAAAAUUGAUUUUUUCUCAUAUCUUUUAAAAAUAAAACACCGGGAAAAUUUAUUAAAUAUCAUCGGAAAAACCGGGAAAUCGAAAAUUGAUAUUGACUGGCCACCCUGCGAGCUUCAUACUCCGAUGAAAUAUUUCACGCGCAUCGUUCUUGUCACGAAAUAAAAUCUGAUAAUCCAAAGAAGUGAUAUUCACCGUUUCGUUGGUAAAUUAAAAAUGACGCCAACGUGGCGCUUGCUACCGUUAUCACGAUAAAACGAUAAAAUUUCUUUUGGGGCAGCAUUUUCCUUAUCCAUCACUAGUUGCGUAAUGUUACUAUACAGUAUUGUGAGUUUCACUGAAACUUAGGGAUGGGCGAUACUAGCAUCGAUACCAACGGUAUCGAUACUAGGUGUCGCGGCAUCGAGUAUUUUGGCAUAGAUACUCACCGCGAGAGAUAAGUAACGGUAUCGAUACUCUCUAAAUGAUGCCUGCAGUAUCGUUAGUUUUUAUUUUUACCGUCAACUGCCUCCCUCCAGGGAUACCAGAUGUGCGGAUUUGCCUCCAAAACGCAGAUAUUUAGAGUUUGGGUGCAGAUUUUAGUUGUUUCGCAGAUAUUUACAGUUUUUGAAAAAAAAAAUUGUAAGUCUGAUACCGAUACCAUCGAAGUUUCGAGUAUCGAUACUCCUUCAACCGAUACUCCGAUAUUUAGUAUCGAAUUUCAUUGAAGUAUCGCGAUACUAAAGUAUUGAUACUUUUGCCAGUAUCGCCCAUCCCUACUGCAACUUAUUUGCCGCACUAUGCUCCGCAACUCUAAAACCAAAUGCUCUUCUUGGUUGUCGAAUCGAUUUUAUUUUCUUCGGGACACUGUAAGCAACAGCCAAAACUAAAUUUUCCUGUAUAUCUGUAGAGUGUGUCCCUAAUAUAUAAGGUGUGUGGCUUGCUAUAUAGCGUGUGUGUAUGUUUAUGGCGUGUAUGCAUGUCUGUAGCGUGUGUGUGCAUGUUUAUAGCGCGUGUGGCACCGCCACCGCCAGGUUUGAGAAGCCACCAUCAUCCAGCGUAUGUCUUUGGGUUAUAUAAGAGACUGUUUCUCCUCAAGCAAAUGACCGUUUGGGGUUUAAGUCCCUUCAAACGAAUGGCCGUUAGGGGUUAAAGUCCCUUCCAAAGAAAUCAAUCAAUCAAACCCCAUCAGUUUCAUCAUUAAACCGUACCGGUUACAUAGGGACGCUAGGUGUUAGCAGCUGUAAGGAGGAAAGACAAAAUAGUACCGGUCAUCUCGUGCCGGUUUCACCCGUAAUGCUGGUGGCUGUUAGAAGUACAUGGCUACUGCAAAAUACUAAAAUGUCUGGAUUUCUGGACGUACUAACCAGUAAACAAGAAUAAUCGGCAACUGGUACCUUUUGGUGCCUCGAAGUUUUGUAAUAGAAGCAUUGCAAUUCCCUCUACUAUUUGUUUUAAUGGAAUAUAAGAAUACGGUAGUCAACGUCAUGCGGUCGUGUCUUGAAUACCACCCUCUUACAAUUUUUUUUGAUAGCACAAUAUAUCUCUACGUUUUAUACAUUUCUAAGUCAUUUGGCAUCAAAAAAAUUUGCGGUAUCGACAAUUUCAUGAACUGUGUGAACCUGUGCUUUUCUUCAUCAGUCGAAAAAAUGGAACUUUAAUCGCUUUGAAGCAUUGCUUCCCCAAGUCCGAUUGAGCUAAAAUUUUGUAUGAGGACAAUUUCCUAAAAGACGAAAUUUUGAGCUCUACCGCUAAACGAAAUUUGAAAAGUCUAUUUUUAUUAGCACUUUAUGGUUCAUAGAUUUUUGUUAAACAAAAAACUUUAUUUGAUAUUCUUAUUACCUUGUGAUUUAGGUUUAUUUUUUUUUCCGUGAGAUUCCCAUUUCAUUUGAUACUAAACGAUAUAGUUUGUGUUUAUGAACGAAUAUAAUUUCUGCAAAGCAAAUUUUAUGCACUAAUAUUUAUUUAUUUAUUUGCAGGCUCCGUACCUACCCUGGGUGCUGUUAGGGUUUUCUGUACUCAUCGGUAAUACCAUAUGGGUUGAUUUGAUGGGUAUCGUUGUAGGCCAUAUCUAUUACUUCCUAGAAGAUGUGUUUCCUGGUCAAAUUAAUGGGUUCCAUUUGCUGAAAACUCCUCAAUUUUUGAAAAAUAUAUUUGAUGAGCCGAUUGAGGAUGGAGACUAUACAGCCCUACCCGAAGACCGACCUGGCGGAUUUGAUUGGAAUAGAGAAAAUCGAAACAAUGCGAACGAUGCACAAAAUGUUGAGCGGCGUGACGGAAUUUGAUUUCAUAAGAAGAAAUUGAUGGUUGAUCUAAACAUUAAGUUGUAUAACAAGCAUGUACCAAAUUGGGAAAAGCUGAAUGGCCAAUAAAAACAGUCAUAUUUUCGGUA